rnacentral:lncRNA from 1 species
CGGAAGCGCUGGAAGCAAGAUGGCGGCCGCCGAGAGGGUUCACAAAGGCUCUGGUCCAUUAGAGGAAGGAGGUCCCAGAAUAGCUGGGAAAUUACGAGAACAGCCUCACUGCACGAGUUGGUGAAUGCUGUGAUGGCGAUUGUAUGAUGGACGGUGAUGUUGAAACCAGACUGGGGAAUGACCGCCCCAUCCGGAGAGGUUAGGAAUUUUAGACCCAGUUCUGCUACUGACUUUCUGUGUGGACACAAACUCACUGAGCCUUCAGUUCUUC